CCUACGGGAGGCAGCAGUGAGGAAUAUUGGUCAAUGGACGAGAGUCUGAACCAGCCAAGUAGCGUGAAGGAUGACUGCCCUAUGGGUUGUAAACUUCUUUUAUAUGGGAAUAAAAUGUUCCACGUGUGGGAUUUUGUAUGUACUAUAUGAAUAAGGAUCGGCUAACUCCGUGCCAGCAGCCGCGGUAAUCCGGAGGAUCCGAGCGUUAUCCGGAUUGAUUGGGUUUAAAGGGAGCGUAGGUGGAUUGUUAAGUCAGUUGUGAAAGUUUGCGGCUCAACCGUAGAAUUGCAGUUGAAACUGGCAGUCUUGAGUACAGUAGAGGUAGGCGGAAUUCGUGGUGUAGCGGUGAAAUGCUUAGAUAUCACGAAGAACUCCGAUUGCGAAGGCAGCUCACUGGACUGCAACUGACACUGAGGCUCGAAAGUGUGGGUAUCAAACAGGAUUAGAUACCCGGGUAGUC
rnacentral:rRNA from 1 species